UACGUAGGGGGCAAGCGUUGUUCGGAAUUACUGGGCGUAAAGGGCGCGUAGGCGGCUCGGCAAGUCGGGAGUGAAAGCCCGGGGCUCAACCCCGGAACGUCUUUCGAAACUGCCGAGCUAGAGUGCGGAAGGGGCAACUGGAAUUCCCAGUGUAGCGGUGAAAUGCGUAGAUAUUGGGAAGAACACCUGAGGCGAAGGCGGGUUGCUGGGCCGACACUGACGCUGAGGUGCGAAAGCGUGGGGAGCAAACAGG
rnacentral:rRNA from 1 species